CCUACUGGUGGCAGCAGUGGGGAAUAUUGCACAAUGGGGGAAACCCUGAUGCAGCAACGUCGCGUGAGUGAAGACUGCUCUCGGAUUGUAAAGCUCUGUUUGUAGAGAAGUGGAAGGACGCUACCUUCAGAUGUAGCCACUGCUAACUACGUGCCAGCAGCCGCGGUAAGACGCAGGUGGCAAGCGUUUUUCGGAUUAACUGGGCGUAAAGGAUGCGUAGGGGGUUAAACAAGUUAUAUGUUAAAUUUAUAGGCUUAACCUGAAGAAAGCAAAUGAAACUGGUUAACUAGAGUGCAGGAGAGGUAAGUGGAAUUCGUGGUGUAGCGGUGAAAUGCGUAGAGAUUAGGAAGAACACCAGUGGCGAAGGCGACUUACUGAACUGUCACUGACGCUGAGGCAUGAGAGCAUGGGGAGCAAACAGGAUUAGAUACCCUUGUAGUC
rnacentral:rRNA from 1 species